rnacentral:rRNA from 1 species
UACAGAGGGUGCGAGCGUUAAUCGGAAUUACUGGGCGUAAAGCGUGCGCAGGCGGCUCCUUAAGUCAGAUGUGAAAUCCCCGGGCUUAACCUGGGAACUGCGUUUGAAACUGGGGAGCUAGAGUGUAGAAGAGGGGGGUGGAAUUCCAGGUGUAGCAGUGAAAUGCGUAGAGAUCUGGAGGAACACCGAUGGCGAAGGCAGCCCCCUGGGCUAACACUGACGCUCAUGCACGAAAGCGUGGGGAGCAAACAGG